rnacentral:rRNA from 1 species
UACGGAGGAUCCAAGCGUUAUCCGGAUUUAUUGGGUUUAAAGGGUGCGUAGGCGGCUUUUUAAGUCAGGGGUGAAAGACGGUAGCUCAACUAUCGCAGUGCCUUUGAUACUGACGGGCUUGAAUGAACUAGAGGUAGGCGGAAUGAGACAAGUAGCGGUGAAAUGCAUAGAUAUGUCUCAGAACACCGAUUGCGAAGGCAGCUUACUAUGGUUUAAUUGACGCUGAGGCACGAAAACGUGGGGAUCAAACAGG